rnacentral:lncRNA from 1 species
CCCCAUACUUUGUAACUUGUAAAGCGAAUUCAUUUGGCAAGGCUUAAGCCAGAAGCCAUACGCUAGCAGUCAUUCUGCUAGCAGCCAGUAUGUGGAAGAGUAAUCUGUCCGUUCUCGACAUCGUCGGGUUCGGAGAGAGUUCUUCUAAAAAUCCUUCACUUUUUAAAUUAUUCUGAAUGAAUGAGUAAUCCAAGAAAAGAAGUGCGGGCGUGUGUAUUUUUACUAUGGAUUAAAUUAUCAGUGUCCCAACUAGUUGUUCUAAUCCAGGCAUGGUCAUCUUUAUUCAUUCUACAGAAAGCUGUCAUUGACGCAGAUGUAUAAGAUCCAGAAUCCACUUCUCUCUCUCCAGUAGAGCUUAUAACGUUCUCUUCAACUACUAACUCGGUUAAUAUGUAGGCACUAUUUACUGUGGAAACUGUCCAUGAAAACAUAUAAAUCCCAUCUCUGGGAGCUACAAAUAUUCCAUCAUUAUUGUUGUAAUGGCCGCCUUCGUUGA